AUGAAAAUCCUAUGCUGGAACUGUCGUGGGAUAGGCGAUCCUGCGACAGUUCGAGAACUCCGCGAUCUGGUGGAGCUUAGUUCGCCUUCUAUUCUCUGUUUAGUCGAGACUCAGCUACAAAAAUAUCAUGUUGAAGGUCUUCGUUUUUCUUUAGGCUUUGAUUUUAGUUUUGGUGUUGGUAGUAGUGGUCGUAGUGGUGGUAUCUGUAUCUUUUGGAAGAAUUCGGUGGAUGUUGCAAUAAAGAAUUUUCGGAGUAUCACGUGGAUGCUUGGGUAUUAG
rnacentral:rRNA from 1 species